rnacentral:rRNA from 1 species
GUGCCCUCUGAUGCAAAUCAUUGGGUUAGAUCUGCUCUCUUCGCAAGAAGAGGGUUUCCAUACACACCGUGAACUGUGGCUUCGGCCAUCACAAACUGUUAGUAAUGAAUGUAAUAUCAUAACAAAAACAAAACUUUUAACAACGGAUCUCUUGGCUCUCGCAUCGAUGAAGAACGCAGCGAAAUGCGAUAAGUAAUGUGAAUUGCAGAAUUCAGUGAAUCAUCGAAUCUUUGAACGCACCUUGCGCCCUUUGGUAUUCCGAAGGGCAUGCCUGUUUGAGUGUCAUGAAACCUCACCCCACUUGGGUUUUUGCCUGAGCGGUGGUGUAUUGGGUGUUGCCUUGCUAAAGGCUCGCCUUAAAGACAUAAGCACCUUGGAUGUAAUACGUUUCAUCCUUCUGGGUGGCUGAUAACCCCACAUAUUCAUGAUCUGGCCUCAAAUCAGGUAGGGCUACCCGCUGAACUUAAGCAUAU